GCUCAGAUUGAACGCUGGCGGCAUGCUUUACACAUGCAAGUCGAACGGCAGCACGGAGAGCUUGCUCUCUGGUGGCGAGUGGCGAACGGGUGAGUAAUACAUCGGAACGUGUCCGUUUGUGGGGGACAACCAUCCGAAAGGAUGGCUAAUACCGCAUAAGACCUGAGGGUGAAAGCCGGGGACCGCAAGGCCUGGCGCGAACGGAGCGGCCGAUGACUGAUUAGCUAGUUGGUGGGGUAAAGGCCUACCAAGGCGACGAUCAGUAGCUGGUCUGAGAGGACGACCAGCCACACUGGAACUGAGACACGGUCCAGACUCCUACGGGAGGCAGCAGUA
rnacentral:rRNA from 1 species